GAGCAGAUUUUGGUGCAGAAUGUCAGACUCCCAGCAAUUUUACCCAGGCAGCAGCAGCAGCAGCAGCAGCAGGUCUCAAACAUCAAUCCCUCAGGCCGGUCUACACACCUGCGAACCCUGUGGGACCUCCUGCCAGCAGAUGGCAGAAUCACAGGUACUAAGCUGCCUCAGGCCUUAAUGUCUGAACAAUAACUGAUUCCUCUGGAAAUAUAAAAUCAGUUGCUGCAGUCUGUAGUAGUACAGACUGUAGUUGUACAUGAAUGGUGUGUUCAAAUGAGAAAUGUUUAACCUGCGAUUGCUCAUAAUUUAUCUUAUGUGCAUAUGGUCAGUAUGACGCUACAACAGCAGCCAGUUAGCUUAUCUCAGCAUAAAGACUGCGAACGAGGGGAAACGGCUGGCCUGGCUCUCUCCGGAGCUAAGCAAUUCUGUCUAGUGGCACCUUUAAAGCUCACAUACACAUAACACAUAAUAUCUUGUUGCAGUGACUUGUGCUAGCAGGCAGAUUUUCUUACUUUUGGACAGAGCCAGGCUGGAUUUCUACCCUUGUUUCUAAUCUUUAUGUGAAGUUAAGAUAACCAACUGCUGGUUGUAACAUCUAAUUCCUCAGCGUAUUUCCUAAGCACUGGAGGUUUAUAACGUAUGGAGGUAUGUGAGUGUGAAAGGCUGAGACAGUUGUUUGUGUGGUAUGUUUACUAUGAGAGAAAGGAGAUUUUGUGGCCUCAGGGGAUUCACAAUUGGCAGUUCCUUGGCCUUGAUCCCAGCCCUGAUUGAAUUGUCAACGGUUAGCAUUCAUGGUAAAUGACAUGUGGAAUAAUUUGUAUUUACUGUUUUAAUGGUCAUAUCACAGGCAGAUGAAGGCAGGGAUGUCUGCUUCACCCAGCAUGAGAGCAACACGUUCAGCAUGAGGACCGCAGCUGUGAUCAAGAGGUACAGUGAUGAUGAGAACCUUUGUUCAGGGUCAGAAACAGCACCAGGACGAGGCCCCAGUGACUCUGACCCUUUCCAUUCGUACCAGCGACAGUUCAGUGAUGGGGCAGUGGCGGCUGCAGGUCAUCUCCAACAGUGCUCGUCGUCCCUCAGCUGUCUGCAGGAGACACACAGCCCUGACAAUGGUUCACACAGCUUCACUGGCGGAGCAACGACAUCCUGGGACCAGUACAACUGCAGCUUUCAGAGUUCGAACACAGAACCACCGACUGUGCCAGCAGAGCCCUCCUGCUUUCUGUCUCAAAGCUACCAAUCCUACGGCUCAUCGCGCCCUCUACAGCAGGUCUCAUCUAGACUGUACACCAACAAUGAGCAGCCCAACAGCUCAAAGUAUUCUUUAUCCACCAAGUCACAACAGGGGAGCACCACACCUUCACUCUUCCCCAAACCGAUUUACUCAUACAGCAUCUUGAUCUUCAUGGCUCUGAGAAACAGUAAAACUGGAAGCCUGCCGGUCAGCGAGAUCUACAGCUUCAUGACGGAACACUUCCCCUAUUUCAAGACAGCUCCUGAUGGAUGGAAGAACUCUGUGCGCCACAACCUCUCCCUGAACAAGUGCUUUGUGAAGGUGGAUAACAAAAAUGGGAACUCGUCCCGUAAAGGCUGCCUGUGGUCUCUCAAUCCGGCCAAGGUGGAGAAAAUGCAGGACGAGCUGCAUAAGUGGCGUCGCAAGGACCCCAUCAGCGUUCGCAGGAGCAUGGCAAAGCCAGAAUGCCUUGAUCGUCUGAUGGCAGAGAGACCAGAGAAGCACAGGUCUCUGCCACUUUACCCCACUCCAGCGUUGUUAUCCAGAGUGACUCCCAUCUACAGCACCAGCUCGUCAUUCUGCACCCCAUCCCAAGUUCAACCACCCUGCCCAUCCAUUAAUCAUCCACAGUAUGCCCAUUUUCAGCCUCAGCUGCCCUGCUACCAGCCUCCCAUGGCUGCUCACCCCAGCAAAUCCUUUGCCCUCUACUCACCCUGUGGUGAGCCAGCCGCUGCUGAGAGCCUGAGCUCACCCAUGGCUAGUAAGAUGCCACCUCCUUACAACCUGCAGGCUGAGUACACUGUUGGCCUGAGGAGCAUGCAGGACUUCAUGAAUGAGGGAGACACCGGUUAUGACAUCGACACGCUCAACCCCAGUCUGACGGACCUGCAGCUGCAAGGUAACUUAUGGGAGGAGUUAAGAAAGGACAGCCUGGUUUCGGAUCCACAGGUCACCACCACGACACUGUCCUCCGCCUCUGCCCUCCAGGAAGUCGAGAACAGCUACAUGCAGGUCUCACCUCCUCUUACUGGGCGACGGAAAUCGUGCGAGUAUGAGGACGAGGACAAGGACGAAAACACAGACAGAGGACAAAAUUUUGAGCAGAAUGGCUGCUUGAACGGGCUGCAUCCUGUGGUUUAUUCAGGAGUGGAGAGUUUGGCAGGGUAUCUGACCUCCUGCACCACGUCCAUCUCCUUAAUGUAAAGACCUGACUCUUUCACUUCCCCCGAGCCAUCCGAGAGAUCUGUAGUAACCAGAAUGGGGAGUGUUACUGCAGGCAACUUCAAGCCACAGUAUUAGAAUUAGCAAUCAGUAGCAUUAACUUUGAUGUAAAACAAAAAAACAAACAAAAAAAAAAAGUAUUCUUGUUGAAUAUUUUGUUUGCAUGUUUCAGCACACUUUUAAGCAUUACUUUUCCUGCAUUAUUUUACAUUUGCAACAGCAUCUGAUAUAUCUCAUUUUGAAUAAAGGAACGCUAUUAAUUUUGAUAAAAAAAGUA
rnacentral:lncRNA from 1 species